UACGUAGGGUGCAAGCGUUGUCCGGAAUUAUUGGGCGUAAAGAGCUCGUAGGCGGCUUGUCGCGUCGUUCGUGAAAACCUGCAGCUCAACUGCAGGCUUGCGGUCGAUACGGGCAGGCUAGAGUUCGGUAGGGGAGACUGGAAUUCCUGGUGUAGCGGUGAAAUGCGCAGAUAUCAGGAGGAACACCGGUGGCGAAGGCGGAUCUUUGGGCCUGUCCUGACGCUGAGGCGCGAAAGCCAGGGGAGCAAACGGGG
rnacentral:rRNA from 1 species